rnacentral:pre_miRNA from 1 species
AGUGGGAUAGUUGGGUCAAAUGGUGGUACCAUUCUGAGUUUUCUGAGGAAUCAGCAUACUGCUUUCCAUAAUGUUUGUACCAAUUUGCAGUCUCACCAGCAAU